rnacentral:rRNA from 1 species
AUGAACGCUGGCGGCGUGCUUAACACAUGCAAGUCGAACGGAAAGGCUCCUGCUUGCAGGGGUACUCGAGUGGCGAACGGGUGAGUAACACGUGGGUGAUCUGCCCUGCACUUCGGGAUAAGCCUGGGAAACUGGGUCUAAUACCGGAUAGGACGAUGGUUUGGAUGCCAUUGUGGGAAGUUUUUCGGUGUGGGAUGAGCUCGCGGCCUAUCAGCUUGUUGGUGGGGUAAUGGCCUACCAAGGCGUCGACGGGUAGCCGGCCUGAGAGGGUGUACGGCCACAUUGGGACUGAGAUACGGCCCAGACUCCUACGGGAGGCAGCAGUGGGGAAUAUUGCACAAGGGGCGCAAGCCUGAUGCAGCGACGCCGCGUGGGGGAUGACGGCCUUCGGGUUGUAAACUCCUUUCGCUAGGGACGAAGCGUUUUGUGACGGUACCUGGAGAAGAAGCACCGGCUAACUACGUG